GACGAACGCUGGCGGCGUGCUUAACACAUGCAAGUCGAACGGAAAGGCCCUGCUUUUGUGGGGUGCUCGAGUGGCGAACGGGUGAGUAACACGUGAGUAACCUGCCCUUGACUUUGGGAUAACUUCAGGAAACUGGGGCUAAUACCGGAUAGGAGCUCCUGCUGCAUGGUGGGGGUUGGAAAGUUUCGGCGGUUGGGGAUGGACUCGCGGCUUAUCAGCUUGUUGGUGGGGUAGUGGCUUACCAAGGCUUUGACGGGUAGCCGGCCUGAGAGGGUGACCGGCCAAAUUGGGACGGGGAUACGGCCCAGCCCCCUACGGGAGGGAGGAGUGGGGAAUUUUGCAAAAUGGGGGGAAGCCUGAUGCAGAAACGCCGGGGGGGGGAUGACGGCCUUGGGGUUGUAACCCGUUUUCGCCUGGGACGAAGGGUGGGUGACGGUAAUGGGUAAAGAAGCACCGGCUAACUACGU
rnacentral:rRNA from 1 species